UCAGGAGUAAUGAGGUUGUAUUUACAGCCUGCACCAGUACUAAUGGACUAGGUGUGGUCAGAGACCAAUUAUUAUAUAUGACAUAGACCCUUUGCUUUCUCUGUGCUGACAGCACACCAGUACAGAACAGUCCAACCAUUGGUAUUGCCAUAAAUCCUAGGGAGAUUUUUGAUGUGAACAAUAUAUUGCAUACUUUAAAAUGCAUGAAACUCCCCACCUCCCAGUUGUCAUUUAACACUGUGUUUUCGUAAAUAUCCUUAUUUUUUCUGCAUCAGAUCUUAAGCUCAUCUCCUUCUUCUUAUUUCACCAGUCAGUUUCCUAUGUUUUUGGAUACUUUAUUGUGCAUAUUCUGCUUUUUGUAUAAUUUUCUGCUCUUAGCCUUGUUCUCACAGACAGGCCAUUAAAAAGGAGGAGGAUGAUACUGGAGUGGAACUGAGGAAUCUCUUAAGAUCAACAGGACGUGACUGGAUGGAUGCCUGUAGAUCUAGUUAGGCCCGGUUAUCAAAAAUGAUGGAUGAAGGUGCUAAGUAUUGAUUCCAAUACUUGGGAAAUCAGCCCACUAUUCUGUAAUAAGAUAUAAGGCCUCAGUUUGACAGAUGCUUUAUUACUGGAGAGCUCACGCAUACCUGAGGGCCAGUAAAGAAGAGAGAGACAACGACAUUAUUUUUAUUAUUGAGUCUGUAGAAAGGGUCAAUAAAUUACAAGGAGUUGGACAUGUGUAUGUGCCUAUUUAUGAAAAGUUUGUCAGUGCGGCCAUCAGCAAGAGUUUUAGGCCUCACUUUGAGGCUACCAAAAAAAAUGUCUUGCGAGACCUCCCCCCCAGUGCAUCACAAGGGCUCUAAAGGAGCAUUAGUUUGUCAGCUUCUCCUUGUUAAGCAAUCAUUGCUGUUUAAGAGGUAACAAAUGAAGAUGUAUAUAACUGGGGUAGGCAAACUUUUUGGCCCAAGGCCUGCUUGGGGAAAUUGCAUGGAGGGCCAUGAAUGUAGGGCUGGGGCAGGGACUUGGGGGGCAGGGUCUGGCCCGGCACUGCUGCUAAGGCAGGCUGCCUGCCCUGGCCCCAUGCUGCACGGCUCCCACUACAUCCCUGGGGGAGGGGUUCCUGGCCACUGGGAGCUUUGGGUGUGGAACCCACAGGUUAGGGCAGUGUGUGGAGCCCUCUGCCCCCCCCCCCGGGGGAGCGGCAAUCCCAUGGGCUGCAUCCAAAGCCCUGAGGAUCCAGCCCAUGGGGCUGUAGUUUGCCCACCCCUGCUAUUAAUUCGUUAAGCAGAUAUUUGUCUAUCGAGUACAGACUCAUAUACAACUUUUGUGUAGCUUUUUCUCCUUUAUUGCUCACAUGGGAUGGUGGUUUCCAGCAGCCCCUUUGUCAUCAGUAACUGAGGAUUUACAUAUUUAUUGCAGCUUAUGUGCUCUGAAGCAGCCACGCACA